GGAAUGUGGAGACCAGUGCAGUGGAGCCCACCACUCUGGUUAGGUGGGGGGAACCUUGGCUUUCGGACCCAGACAGCUGAGAGAGGGAAAAGCCGUGGAAACACACCCGGAUUGAAAUGCCCCUGGCCCGCCUGACCCGACCCCAGGAGAAGCAGCCGAGUUACCCGACAUCGUGGUCAGCAGGAGCUGGGUCGGUGGCUGGAUGCUGCAGCUGCAGGGACUCAGCGCCUGGGAGGGCUCCUGGGGCAGGGAGAGAAGCAGAGAUGCAACAUUUUUAAAGUUUCACAAAGCAUCCGGCUGCACCCAGGUCCCUGGAACAGGAGACAAACAGAAUUAAUGUUUUAUACCUUCGGGUAUAGGAUUGAGUUUUUUCCCCCUCAUGCCAAGUAUUUAAAACCUCUAGAAACCCAUGAUUUGACAAUCAAUGAUUGCGCGAUACUUUCAAUUUGAAUAUUCAAAGGCUUAACAAAAUGGACUAUCUUCUGCAGAAAUCCUGCACACAGGCACCCCGCAGAGAGUCCAGAGAAACAGGGAGUGAGACCCCUUUGGAUCCUGGCCCUUGCUUUUAUUAUAUUUUGAGCAUUUUGUCCUCCUUCCCACAGACAGAGCAGAUGUCCUCAAAGAUGCUCUGUAUUUCAGCCUUCAGGGCAGCUAGGGAGCCAUGAGUGACUUAGGCUGCCCUGGCCAUGAACACCAGAGCCAGACUGGCUGGCCCGACUGAUUCCCGCAUCCCCCAUCUGUGUUUUGAGGGGAAAUCUCAGGUUUUGAGGAAUGAACAUGGCAGCUAGUGGGUGUGGCACAGCAAGAAGUCGCUCUGGGCCCAGGUGGCAGGCCAGCGGCCUAGCAGAGGCCUUCGCUGUGCACCUCCUAUUUUUCUGGCUCCGCCUGGCUACCAGCGGGCUUCCCUCCCCCUUUCAUCCCGCUCUUCCUGGGCCCGACACUGGGGUUUCUGCUCAGAAUGACUGCCCAUUAAGACCCUUUGCUCCUGCCCACAGAGCUGGGGAUGUCUCAUCCUCUGGAGACUUUCUGACUCUGGAUUUCACUACUGCACUGUGAAGUGCCCUCUUUGCUUUUUCUCCCUCUAGAGCCACCCCUGCCUUUUUGCUGUAGGAGCACAUGUUAGGAAACAGUGACAAGUUUGGCUCCUGCUCAUUUUAACUGAAAGGACGUGGACUUAGGUUCAAGCCUUCUCCCGCUGGGGUGAGAAGGGGGAGGGACUUGGGAUCAGGCUUCCCCCUUGGUCCAGGGCCAAGCCCCUCACUAAUGACUUGGGAUUCUACUGGGUCAUCUUCUGUGAGUACUUACUGUGCCUCUUCCAUGUGAUUUGGAAGGUGAGGAGACAGGAAUGGUCCACAGAGGGAGAGAGUGCCAGGCCAAAUCCUCUCAUAGCCACCCACCCCCUCCACAGAAGGGGACAGCAAGAGAAGACAGACAGACACGGUGGGGUUCCUUUUGCAAAUAACCAAGAUAUUUCCAGGAUUCAGGACCAGGCCACGGUUUUAGGCCUCUGCUCUUUGUUCUCUGAGUUCUCAGAAAUGCAAAAAGUGUAAUUUAGCCCCAAAGGCCUCUAGAAAAAGAUUGGGGUGCCCCCACAUGUGUCAAAUACAGAAUGAGACACACAGAGCUUAGGGAAAGGGCAACUGAGAAUGACAAGACUGAUAGGAAUUGCUUGGCAGCUGAAGCCACAUCUCUGGGGGAGAGGAGCAGGCCUGGGAACACCUGAGGUGGCACCUGGCAGUGGAGGGCAGGAUGGAUGUAUUGAAAUCUGACAGCUUCUGGAGCUUCUUUCUACAAAUGCCCCUGAGCCUGUGUCCUAGGUUUCCCUGAUGGACCAGACCUGAGGAGGGGAAGGACAAUGGGAGUGGAGAUAGCACCUCCCCUCCCUGCAUACCUUCUUCCCCGCUGUGCCUAGGCAUCACCCCCUCUGAAGGAACAGUGAACCAAGCAGCUUGGAAUCUAGGGAUGGUCUCUUGUCCUCAUAGCGUCUUCCAUUACUUCUUUUCUUUGCUGCUCUCCUCCUUUUUGUUGUACUCUUAUUUUUUGAUUUGCUUUUAAAAACCUUCUUUUUUGUUGCAUUUUUGUUUAUUUCUUUCCGUGUUUCUUUGUCUCUCUUCCUGUUAUUGCUUUCUUCCAUUUCUUGUUUGCACUACUGGUUUUCUCCCUGGCUUCACGUGUCUCUGUGUUCCCCUGUGCUGGAGUGUCCUCCCAAUGCUUUCAGGCUUCAUCUCCUUCCUAACCUCUCCUUUCAUGUGGAGAUGGACAGGAAUGGCAGGAGCAUUGAGUGCUCUUGGCAACACCAUUGAAGAUGGUGUUGACGAUCAGCUACCCUGUGGAGAAGGCAGGCCAGGCUGGGUGAGAGGGGAGCUCCUUGGAAGUCAGGGGGUCUGUAAGGACAGCAAGGAUCUCUUUGUCCCAACUUCCAGAAGCCUUUGUGGGUGCUUCUGUGUUGGCCUUGUUUCUGGAAUGGCCAUCUCAGUGCUGUUGCUGGCUAGCAAUUUCAGAAAACUAGAUUUGUCUAGGCCUGAGCCGUGUUUUGAGAAAGAAGCUUCCCUCUGGUUUGUAGCCCAACAUUAAUGAGUUUUGAUUCUUGUUGUUUCUAUAAUUACAAAACCACUAGCACAGGUAUUUAAGAGCCAAAUGCCAUGCUUGUGGAAGUAAAGAAGGAAUCUUUCUAAAUGGAUCCUGCAAAUCCUCCUUACAGAUCUGAGUGGUUGAUCAGACCCAGAGCAACCCUGAGAUCCCAGGUACCCACAGCAUUGGCUAUUCUUCAUAGGUGACUCAGAGAAGGCUUCAUAGGAGACUCAUUGUUGUUUACUGGACAUCAGGUGCUAUAUUGUAUAGCAUUCACAUUCCACAGGUGAGGAAACAGGCUCAGAGGAAUAAGUGGCAUGCCAAGAUCAUCGAGCAUAUCAGUAGCAGAAUUAGGAUUCAGACUUUCAUAGGUCUAACUCCAAAGCCCUGGGUUUUUUUUUUUUUUUUUUUUUUUUUUGAGAUGAAAUCUCACUCUGUCCCCAGGCUGGAGUGCAGUGGCAUGAUCUGAGCUCACUGCAACCUCUGCCUCCUGGGUUCAAGUGAUUCCCCUGCCUCAGCCUCCUGAGUAGCUGGGACUACAGGAUGCACCACCACGCCCAGCUAGUUUUUGUAUUUUUAGUAGAGAGGAGGUUUCACCAUGUUGGCCAGGAUGGUCUCCAUCUUUUGACCUCAUGAUCUGCCUGCCUCGGCCUCCCAAAGUGCUGGGAUUACAGGCAUGAGCCACCACACCUGGCCUUUGCUCUUAACUACUGAUGUUGUCUUCCUGAUCUUUUCUACCAGAAGCUUUUAAACUUUUUGGACUUUAGCCUACAAUAAGAAAUCUGUUUUACAUGUUCACAUGUAUCUAUAGCAACAUUUAUAUUUCUAAAACAAACUUUUCAUGAAACAACAUAUACCUACGUAUGUGAGGCACUCUGAUAUUUUCUAUUCUAGUCCACCUUUGCCAUUUCAUUAUAUUUAUGGAAAAUAUAUGUUGGUUGGGAGUCGCUAAGUUAAUUUAAUGACCCACUAAUAGGCUGUGAGUGGCAUUGGAAAAAUACCUGCUUGUAAGAUAUGCGAACACACGUUUCAAGGUUGUUUGUGCAUGUGGAAAUAUUUUGGGGUGCUAUCUGUUUUACCAUCAGUUUGUACAAGGACACUAAGACAGUGUAGCCUGCUGACUUGAGAAUGUUCUGUAAGGACUGGAAACACUAGAACCUUGAAGAAAUGCCUGGCUAGAGGUGAGGGUAAGCUGUUAAUUACACUGAUUACAGUUUGUGCCUCUCAGACUGAGAACUCUUCCUUCUUGCUAGGGGCAUUUCUACCUCUAGGAUGUUUGCCCUGAAGUCCUGAUAGUCUCUUUGGGGUUUUAAUAAAUGGCUGAAAAAAUUGUUGUGGGGUUUCAACAGGCGUUCAUAGGCAUCCUUGCUUGGCAAUAUAACAUGGCUUUUGAUGUUUGGGUGUUGGAAGGGAUCUUUGAAGGGCUGAGAGGGACUCAGAGUCUUUUUCCAAAAUCUCUGCUUGUGUCUGUCCAGCCUCUAGCUCCACUGCUUGGCUGAGAUCCUGGGUCACAGUAGAAUCUGUGUAGAGGAAAUGAGAGCUCACUAUUUGUGAGGCAGCCUGUUCCACUAUUGGACUGCUUUAAAUGUAGUGACCAGUGAUUAUGCUAUAAUCCAAUCAUGUAUUUGGGCACCAACUAUGCACUAGGCAUGGUAUCAAGUACCAGGAGUACAAAAAUUAGUAAACUUUGAUUUCUGCUAUCAAUUUCUCUCUUCUCCUACUUCUGUACUACUGCUUUUCUAUUGUGAGUUUGUUUAGUUCAUUAAUUGGUUCAUUCAUUCAUUCAACAAUCAUACACUGAUUAGCUACUCUGACCAGGUCCAGUACUAAGUCUAAAGAAGUUAUGCCCAUCCCAUCUCCACCCCAAGCCUUCUCCUUUUGAGACUCCUCAUCCAGUUUCUCUAGUUCUUCACAUGUCACUGUUUUUCAGAUCUCUGGCUAUCCUUGCCAUUGACCUCAGAAAUCCUGUAUUUGACCUUGACCUUCUUAUACCCAGUCUGUACCCAAAGUGAUGGGAAUGGAAUAGAUUUCUUUUUAAAAUUUUAAACUGAAUAUUUUGACUGAAAAAUUUUGGCAGUCUUUUGUAUGCAAAUGACACCGCAGAGCAUUGUUUUCUUCCCCCACGUAGGAGAUUUCAUUCAACUUAGGCACAGGCAUAUUAAAAGACUUUUAGUAUAAGGAAAAGGGAUAGUUUAUUCCCUCCAAAUUUGACUACAGCUUGAAAUUGUCUUUAUUAAUGCAAAGUUCUUUUGUCACCUUGACUUUGGGACACUGUUACCAAACCUUGUGGGAAAUAUCAAGUUCCAGAAGAUUGAAUACAUGUAGGAAACGAAUGUUUUUUGGGCCCUAGAGUGAACAUUUGGUCCAUAUGAAAAUGACCAGGAAGACAAUUAGGUGAAGGUUUUUUAAUGAUUUGUGCUACGUCAGUCUCUUCCCAUAAGACAUAUUCAAAGUUUUAACUUUUCUUUAAGCGGCUUCCAUGGGAGCAAGCAUUUGGUAAUUCAUCCUUUAACUAAGAAAAACACCACUGUACACUGCUUGAAGAGUUCCUCUCCUAUUACUUAAAACGUUUUUAUUGUGCAACAUUUAAGGCAUACAAAAACAUAUAAAGAAUACCAUGAUGAAAAUCUAUGACUAUAUUAUCAAGCUUAAGAAAUAAAACAGUUGAGUGAUCUUUCAUUUAUGAUUAAAUUAACUUAUUAAAACCAUUAAAACUUUUGGAUGAUUCUUGUUAA
rnacentral:antisense_RNA from 1 species